rnacentral:rRNA from 1 species
GCUUGUCUCAAAGAUUAAGCCAUGCAUGUCUAAGUACAAGCCUCAGUAAGGUGAAACCGCGAAUGGCUCAUUAAAUCACACCUAAUCUACUGGAAAGUUACUAGUUACUUGGAUAACUGAGGUAAUUCUUGAGCUAAUACAUGCGAAAAAUCUCGACUCACGGAGAGAUGCUUUUAUUAGAUCAAAACCAAACGGCUUCGGCCGUCUCAUUGGUGAUUCAUAAUAACUGUUCGGAUCGUAUGGCUUUUUGCCGACGACAGAUCAUUCAAAUUUCUGCCCUAUCAGCUUUCGACGGUACUGUAGUGGACUACCGUGGCAUUAACGGGUGACGGAGAAUUAGGGUUCGAUUCCGGAGAGGGAGCCUGAGAAAUGGCUACCACAUCCAAGGAAGGCAGCAGG